AGUUUCGUCUACUAGUUUUACUCUGUUCAUCCAACGAGUUUAUUUAUUUUGGCAUCUUUUCUCAGCUCGGAGUCAAAUCAAAGUUCUCUUGUUGGACACCUUGUAAGACAUAAAGGACCAGUUCGUGGUCUUGAAUUUAAUGUCAUUGCACCAAACCUUCUUGCAUCUGGUGCUGAGGAUGGUGAAAUUU